UACGUAGGAGGCAAACGUCAUUCGGAUUUACUGGGCGUAAAGGGAGCGUGGGCGGUUCCUUAAGUCAGAUGUUAAAUCUUCCGACUCAAUCGGAAGAAGUCAUUUGAUACUGAGGGACUUGAGAGCAGCAGAGGGAAAUGGAAUCUCCAGUGUAGCGGUGAAAUGCGUAGAUAUUGGGGAGAACACCAGUGGCGAAGGCGGUUUCCCAGGUUGUUUCUGACGCUGAGGCUCGAAAGCGUGGGGAGCGAAGCGGAUUAGAUACCCGCGUAGUCCACGCCCUAAACGGUGGACACUAGAUAUAGGAGGUAUCGACCCUUUCUGUGUCGAAGCUAACGCUUUAAGUGUCCCGCCUGGGGAGUACGGCCGCAAGGCUGAAACUCAAAGGAAUUGACGGGGGUCCGCACAAGCAGCGGAGCGUGUGGUUUAAUUCGAUGCUACACGAAGAACCUUACCAGGACUUGACAUGACAGAAGUAGGAAGCCGAAAGGAAGACGACCUGUAUCCAGUCAGGAGCUGUCACAGGUGCUGCAUGGCUGUCGUCGGCUCGUGCCGUGAGGUGUUGGGUUAAGUCCCGCAACGAGCGCAACCCUUGUCCUAUGUUAAAUUCUCAUAGGAGACUGCCUUGUACAGCAAGGAGGAAGGAAAGGAUGACGUCAAGUCAGCACGGCCUUUAUGUCCUGGGCUACACACACGCUACAAUGGAUGAUACAAAGGGUUGCCAAGGAGCGAUCCGGAGCUAAUCCCUUAAAAUCAUCCUCAGUUCGGAUUGCAGGCUGAAAUCGCCUGCAUGAAGUCGGAGUUGCUAGUAACUGCAGGUCAGCUAUACUGCGGUGAAUACGUUCUCGGACCU
rnacentral:rRNA from 1 species